rnacentral:rRNA from 1 species
UCAAGCGCGAAAAGGGCGUUUGGUGAAUGCCUUGGCAGUAAGAGGCGAUGAAAGACGUGAUACUCUGCGAUAAGCCAUGGGGAGCUGAGAAUAAGCUUUGAUCCAUGGAUUUCUGAAUGGGGCAACCCACCUGAUACUGUGUUAUUUAUUCUACCUAGUUGGAAGUUGUUUGGGGUUCGUCCUCAAGUAGCCGAAUAGGCGGUAGGACAAAAUAAUGCGGUAAACCAGGUAUUUAUAGACUGAAUACAUAGGUUUAUAAAAGCAAACCCGGGGAACUGAAACAUCUAAGUACCCGGAGGAAAGGAAAUCAAUUGAUACUCCCCUAGUAGCGGCGAGCGAACGGGGACCAGCCGAGCCUCAAUUGUGGUUAGAAUGCGUUGGAAUGCGCAACCAAAGUGGGUGAUAGUCCCGUAUAAGAAGCAUGAGAGGACGUAUUAAGUAGGGCGGAACACGUGAAAUUCUGUCUGAAGAUCGGAGGACCACCUUCGAAGGCUAAGUACUCCUUACUGACCGAUAGUGAACCAGUACCGUGAGGGAAAGGUGAAAAGCACCCCGACGAGGGGAGUGAAACAGUACCUGAAACCGAACGCCUACAAUCAGUUGGAGGGACUUUACGUCCUGACAGCGUACCUUUUGUAUAAUGGGUCAUCGACUUGGUCUCACAAGCAAGCUUAAGCCGUUAGGUGUAGGCGCAGCGAAAGCGAGUCUUAAUAGGGCGUUGAGUUUGUGGGAUCAGACCCGAAACCGAGUGAUCUAGGCAUGGCCAGGUUGAAGGUGCAGUAACAUGCACUGGAGGACCGAACCCACAUCUGUUGAAAAAGAUCGGGAUGAGCUGUGCCUAGGGGUGAAAGGCCAAUCAAACUCGGAGAUAGCUGGUUCUCUGCGAAAUCUAUUUAGGUAGAGCGUCAUCCGAAUACCCUCGGGGGUAGAGCACUGGAUGGGUAAUGGGGCCCCACAGGCUUACUGAUCCUAACCAAACUCCGAAUACCGAGGAGUACUAGAUGGCAGACACACGGCGAAUGCUAACGUCCGUCGUGAAGAGGGAAACAACCCUGACCUACAGCUAAGGCCCCUAAUUCAUGGCUAAGUGGGAAAGCAGGUGAGACGACCAAAACAACCAGGAGGUUGGCUUAGAAGCAGCCAUCCUUUAAAGAUAGCGUAACAGCUCACUGGUCUAAAUAAGUUGUCUUGCGGCGAAGAUGUAACGGGGCUCAAGCCAUGAGCCGAAGCUUAGGAUGCAUUUAUUGCAUGGUAGCAGAGCGUAGUGUGACAUAGUUCCAUGUCUCCUUAGCCCUUCGGGGUAUUGGAGACGCGGAGCUUUCUGUGAAGCGGGCCUGUGAGGGAUCCCGUGGAGAGAUCACUAGUGAGAAUGAUGACAUGAGUAGCGACAAAGAGUGUGAGAGACACUCUCGCCGAAAAUCCAAGGGUUCCUGCUUAAAGCUAAUCUGAGCAGGGUAAGCCGACCCCUAAGGCGAGGCCGAAAGGCGUAGUCGAUGGGAACCAGGUUAAUAUUCCUGGGCCAGAUGGAAGUGACGGAUCUCGAGGGUAGUUCAUCCUUAUCGGAUUGAAUGGGCUGCUUAGAGGUCCCUGGAAAUAGCUCCAUCGCUAGAUCGUACCCUAAACCGACACAGGUGGAUAGGUAGAGAAUACCAAGGCGCUUGAGAGAACUAUGUUGAAGGAACUCGGCAAAAUACCUCCGUAAGUUCGCGAGAAGGAGGCCCGGUUCCAAGGCAACUUGGAGCUGGGGGCACAAACCAGGGGGUGGCGACUGUUUACUAAAAACACAGGGCUCUGCGAAGUCGCAAGACGACGUAUAGGGUCUGACGCCUGCCCGGUGCCUGAAGGUUAAAAGGAGGGGUGAGAGCUCUGAAUUGAAGCCCAGGUAAACGGCGGCCGUAACUAUAACGGUCCUAAGGUAGCGAAAUUCCUUGUCGGG